GUGCUAUAAAAGACAAUUCCACGCAUCAACUUGACGCAUUCCGUUCACAGGAUAACUACAAAUUUUAACCCGGUUACUAUAAAAUUCUAUCACUGUAUAGUAUUUUUAGGAAACGAAAUAACUUGAGAAAUUAGAAGGGUGAAGACAGAAAGAGUAGGUGUAGACUUGUAGCUGAUAGAAUGAUCAUAGGAAUAACAACCCGGCUGUUGCUGCUAACGACUUUACUUGCAGUAUUAGUGAUAGUUGAAAACGAGGCUAGGAGCCAUUAUCAGCUGGCCUGUGAUCCACGUAGUGCGCAUAUGUCAUGCCUUAUGGGAUGUUUGACGUGUUUUGAUUCGUAUGGCGGGGAACUGUAUGAUACGGCUGCUUGUUGUCGAGACUGUCAGGAUUACAACGCUAAUCUUAUUGACUACGGACCGGCUGAUUGUUCCCAUAAGUAUAUUAGAAGCAGC